CGCUUCUUUUUCCACCGGAGCUUGCUCCACCGGAAAAAGAGGAGUGGCGAACGGGUGAGUAACACGUGGGUAACCUGCCCAUCAGAAGGGGAUAACACUUGGAAACAGGUGCUAAUACCGUAUAACAAUCAAAACCGCAUGGUUUUGAUUUGAAAGGCGCUUUCGGGUGUCGCUGAUGGAUGGACCCGCGGUGCAUUAGCUAGUUGGUGAGGUAACGGCUCACCAAGGCCACGAUGCAUAGCCGACCUGAGAGGGUGAUCGGCCACAUUGGGACUGAGACACGGCCCAAACUCCUACGGGAGGCAGCAGUAGGGAAUCUUCGGCAAUGGACGAAAGUCUGACCGAGCAACGCCGCGUGAGUGAAGAAGGUUUUCGGAUCGUAAAACUCUGUUGUUAGAGAAGAACAAGGAUGAGAGUAACUGUUCAUCCCUUGACGGUAUCUAACCAGAAAGCCACGGCUAACUACGUGCCAGCAGCCGCGGUAAUACGUAGGUGGCAAGCGUUGUCCGGAUUUAUUGGGCGUAAAGCGAGCGCAGGCGGUUUCUUAAGUCUGAUGUGAAAGCCCCCGGCUCAACCGGGGAGGGUCAUUGGAAACUGGGAGACUUGAGUGCAGAAGAGGAGAGUGGAAUUCCAUGUGUAGCGGUGAAAUGCGUAGAUAUAUGGAGGAACACCAGUGGCGAA
rnacentral:rRNA from 1 species